rnacentral:misc_RNA from 1 species
CAAAACUCACAAGCGAGUAUCUCUCUGUCACUCAUCCUCUCUCUCAGUCGCAUACAAGCCUCUCUCUCCGUCACUUAGCCUCGCUCUCAGUUGCAUAGAAUCCACAAGGCUCUCUCUUCUUCGAAGCACAGCUUUCUUUCCACGGCCUUGAUUUAAACAUUACCAUUUUGCUCUCCUGCGUCUCGCCCGUUGCUCGCGUACUCGAAAUAACGCUCGAGCUCAAAUGGUGUUCAGGCUAGCCACAGUCGUCCCUGUCUCUUGCAUCUUACAUGCUAAUUCAAGAAUAAACUGCCAAUUGAUUAGACUAUAUUUGAAAGCAUUUACAUAUUGAGAUCUUCCACACUCACAUCUUUCUUGGGUAAUCUAGAUUUCUCUGCAAAACCUCACUCCCAGUUUCUGUACAAAGAUCCUCUGUUUCAGGAUGAUGAUGUAUAAUAUGCAUUGAUUGAUUCAAGUCUUUUUUUGGCUAAAGAGAAAGUUAAUUUGUUUUGGAAUGCCAAUUAGAUGAAGCUAUGAAUUCUUCUUCUUCCUUCUCUCUUGGGAAAGAUGUUUGAAGGAGAGUUACUGGAGAAUGGAUUCAAUCAACAGGACGGAGAACCUUCUGAUUCUUUGGUGGAUAAGGUUGACCCCUGGAAGCCUGCAUCACUGACCUGGCAGCAAAAGUUAAAUAGAGCCUAAACCAUUUUCAUGAAGAGGGGUCUUGGAGUGCAAGGAAACUUUAUUCAAGAUAUGUGAAAGAUAUAUUAAGUGCUGCAAAUGAAGAUGAACAAAUGAAUGUUAGUAUUUUUUUUUUUUGGGGGUGGGGGAAGACAAAAGUGUUAGAUAUGCUACCUAGUGACAAAUUAACCUGGAGUUGACUGUUCUAUAGAAUUGAAUAACUGUACCUGGUAGAUUCACCUUUCUCUUUUGGCAUUACUGGAUGAUUUUCAAAACUCUUUGUCAUCUGUGUUCUCUAUGACAUGAAUGAAUAGUAUAUGUGUGUCCUUUUAUGUCAUAAAUCUGUGGCAAAUCUAUGUUCUUCUCUUUGUUAUCUAUGUCCACAAGGCGGUUUUCUUCAUUCUCUGCAGGCUCCUGUAGGUAUUUGAUUAUGGCAUUAUCUCCGAGAAGAAGCUGGCAAAGGAAAGGUAAUGUUCAUUUAUCUUAAUUGCUCAUUGUAACUUGGUUUUGUUAACAAAUUACAAAGAUCAGUUUGAUCUCCAUGUUCCGUUUGGCAAUUUCAGGGUGGUGUUAUCAAUCCAUUUUUUAAGCGCUUUGUAACAUCUUGUCAAGGAAUUCCACUAGGUGGCAUUGGUGAAAAAGAAUACUGGGAAAGAAUCCGAGGGAUCAAGUCAAGGCCAAGAGGCGACUCGUAUAAGAUAUAGAGACUAGAGGAGCAGCUGAGUGAGCUGCUGAGGAUUAUGGAGCUACCUACCCUGAAGUUUCACCGUGUAUAUUUUUUACCCUGAUUGUAAAAAUUAUUUUGAUGUAUGUAAUGUAUGUAAAUGUAGAAAAUGGUCAUGAGCAGUUGUAUAAAGUUGUAU